CAGCCGCCGCGGGAAUACGUAGGGUGCGAGCGUUAAUCGGAAUUACUGGGCGUAAAGCGUGCGCAGGCGGUUUUGUAAGACAGGCGUGAAAUCCCCGGGCUCAACCUGGGAAUGGCGCUUGUGACUGCAAAGCUAGAGUGCGGCAGAGGGGGAUGGAAUUCCGCGUGUAGCAGUGAAAUGCGUAGAUAUGCGGAGGGACACCGAUGGCGAAGGCAAUCCCCUGGACCUGCACUGACGCUCAUGCACGAAAGCGUGGGGAGCAAACAGGAUUAGAUACCCCCGUAGUCCCUGUCUCUUAUAC
rnacentral:rRNA from 1 species